rnacentral:rRNA from 1 species
AGAGUUUGAUCCUGGCUCAGGAUGAACGCUGGCGGCGUGCUUAACACAUGCAAGUCGAACGAAGCACUUUAUUUGAUUUCCUUCGGGACUGAUUAUUUUGUGACUGAGUGGCGGACGGGUGAGUAACGCGUGGGUAACCUGCCUUGUACAGGGGGAUAACAGUUGGAAACGGCUGCUAAUACCGCAUAAGCGCACAGCAUCGCAUGAUGCAGUGUGAAAAACUCCGGUGGUAUAAGAUGGACCCGCGUUGGAUUAGCUAGUUGGUGAGGUAACGGCCCACCAAGGCGACGAUCCAUAGCCGACCUGAGAGGGUGACCGGCCACAUUGGGACUGAGACACGGCCCAAACUCCUACGGGAGGCAGCAGUGGGGAAUAUUGCACAAUGGGCGAAAGCCUGAUGCAGCGACGCCGCGUGAGCGAAGAAGUAUUUCGGUAUGUAAAGCUCUAUCAGCAGGGAAGAUAAUGACGGUACCUGACUAAGAAGCACCGGCUAAAUACGUGCCAGCAGCCGCGGUAAUACGUAUGGUGCAAGCGUUAUCCGGAUUUACUGGGUGUAAAGGGAGCGCAGGCGGUGCGGCAAGUCUGAUGUGAAAGCCCGGGGCUCAACCCCGGUACUGCAUUGGAAACUGUCGUACUAGAGUGUCGGAGGGGUAAGCGGAAUUCCUAGUGUAGCGGUGAAAUGCGUAGAUAUUAGGAGGAACACCAGUGGCGAAGGCGGCUUACUGGACGAUAACUGACGCUGAGGCUCGAAAGCGUGGGGAGCAAACAGGACUAGAUACCCUGGUAGUCCACACAGUAAACGAUGAAUACUCGCUGUUUGCGAUAUACAGUAAGCGGCCAAGCGAAAGCAUUAAGUAUUCCACCUGGGGAGUACGCCGGCAACGGUGAAACUCAAAGGAAUUGACGGGGGCCCGCACAAGCGGAGGAACAUGUGGUUUAAUUCGAUGAUACGCGAGGAACCUUACCCGGGCUUAAAUUGCAACAGAAUAUAUUGGAAACAGUAUAGCCGUAAGGCUGUUGUGAAGGUGCUGCAUGGUUGUCGUCAGCUCGUGCCGUGAGGUGUCGGCUUAAGUGCCAUAACGAGCGCAACCCUUAUCUUUAGUUACUAACAGGUUAUGCUGAGGACUCUAGAGAGACUGCCGUCGUAAGAUGUGAGGAAGGUGGGGAUGACGUCAAAUCAGCACGGCCCUUACGUCCGGGGCUACACACAUGUUACAAUGGGGGGUACAGAAGGCGGCUACCUGGUGACAGGAUGCUAAUCCCAAAAACCUCUCUCAGUUCGGAUCGAAGUCUGCAACCCGACUUCGUGAAGCUGGAUUCGCUAGUAAUCGCGCAUCAGCCAUGGCGCGGUGAAUACGUUCCCGGGCCUUGUACACACCGCCCGUCAAGCCAUGAAAGCCGGGGGUACCUGAAGUACGUAACCGCAAGGAGCGUCCUAGGGUAAAACUGGUAAUUGGGGCUAAGUCGUAACAAGGUA